UUGCAAGUUGUCCCGCUCUGGACUGAGCGCGUCUGUUUUGCCCCCCCCACCCCCCGCAGCAAUUCCUCCCUCCCUCCCUCUCAUCCUCCCCCCUCUUCGUCGUCUUUUUUCACCUCCCUCCUCUUGCACUUUACUCAGCUACAAUUACAACAGGUGGAGCUGUGCGCAUGCACAGGUUGAUGGUUACGAAAUGUCACGAAAAGCCUACUAGAACAUCUUAAACCUCAUUUGUUGUUAAUCAGAGCUGUUUUAAAUUGUGACAGAUGUGUGCUGACUCCCAAUGUGAUUGUUACCAUUUCCCCACAUAAAUGGGUGUGCACACUUAUGCAACCCCAUUAUCACUCCAUCUAUUUACUACACUGGAGUCUGUUGGUGAAGGUACACCGUAGGACCGGACACUAGCCAAUUGCAGGGCGUCGUUAUUUCAUGACUGAUAAAUAGCAUUCCUCAUUGUCGCGGUAAGGGAGCUGUCCGUGGUGCUGAUCUCUUCGAAUAGUCCAAAUAAUGGCAAAAGCUGAUGUGUCUGCGUGUCUAUCUGAUCCCACUGCUCAACUCUGCUUCUUUUAACUAGUCAAUAAUGCAUCAAGCAGCAUGGCGCCCAGGCUGGCAUCCAUUACCAGGCCAAGGCUAAUAUUACAGUACGUUGGUGACAAGAGGCAGCAGACUUUCAAGUACUGUAUUACAGCCAUCAUGGCUUUCUGAUUGGAGACAACUUCCAAGGAACCAGGGUCAUUUAUUAUUGAGCCGUCAUUGUUUGGGAGCUGUCAUGGUGUGUUUUGACGGCGACGUUGAAGGACCCUCCUCGAUGUAAUAAGGCCGAGGUGGGGCAGAGCAUUCCAGCGUCCCGAGUUGGCUCAGCAUCACAGUGACGGUUGUGCCUGAUCCUGAAUUUCCGAAUAUAUUUUUGGGGUGAGCUAUCCAUGCGGUACACCUUGGAGUGCAAAGAGGCGCUGCAAAAGUGACUUGAAUGGGAGCAUCGGGAGCAUCCAAAUAAAGAAGCAGGUAAGAGAAGAAUAAAUGAAAUGUGGUCUUUAAACGGAGACCAUAAUGUCCACCGCCCCGAAAAUCUUAAAUACAGUCCUGUAUAAAAAUAGCUUUUCACAGUCGAUGCAAAGGUUGCGCAUUACUGACAGUUAAAGUAAGCACACUUAAACUAUCUCCAAGAACCAAACCUUCGUCUUUCUCAGCAGAAGUGAGAUUAUUUUCUCGAGUGGAGGGA